CAAGUCGUGCGAGAAAGGGCUUCGGCCCCGGUACAGCGGCGCACGGGUGAGUAACACGUAGGUAAUCUCCCCUCGAAUGGUGGAUAACCCUCCGAAAGGAGAGCUAAUACAGCAUAAGACCACGACCUCGUUGAGGUUGCGGCCAAAGCAGGCCUCUACUUGUAAGCUUGCGUUUGAGGAUGAGCCUGCGGCCCAUCAGCUAGUUGGUAAGGUAACGGCUUACCAAGGCGAAGACGGGUAGCUGGUCUGAGAGGAUGAACAGCCACACUGGAACUGAGACACGGUCCAGACUCCUACGGGAGGCAGCAGUAGGGAAUCUUGCGCAAUGGGCGAAAGCCUGACGCAGCGACGCCGCGUGAGCGAUGAAGGCCUUCGGGUUGUAAAGCUCUGUGGGGAGGGAAGAAUAAGAGCUGGCUAAUACCUUGCUCGAUGACGGUACCUCCUUAGCAAGCACCGGCUAACUCUGUGCCAGCAGCCGCGGUAAGACAGAGGGUGCAAACGUUGUUCGGAAUUACUGGGCGUAAAGCGCGUGUAGGCGGCUAUGUAAGUCGGGCGUGAAAUCCCACGGCUCAACCGUGGAAGUGCACCCGAAACUGCGUAGCUAGAGUCCUGGAGAGGAAGGUGGAAUGCUUGGUGUAGAGGUGAAAUUCGUAGAUAUCAAGCGGAACACCGGUGGCGAAGGCGGCCUUCUGGACAGUGACUGACGCUGAGACGCGAAAGCGUGGGGAGCAAACAGGAUUAGAUACCCUGGUAGUCCACGCCGUAAACGAUGAGUGCUAGGUGUCACGGGCUUUGACCCUCGUGGUGCCGAAGCUAACGCGUUAAGCACUCCGCCUGGGGA
rnacentral:rRNA from 1 species